UACGGGGGGAGCAAGCGUUGUUCGGAUUUACUGGGCGUAAAGGGCGCGUAGGCGGCGCAACAAGUCACUUGUGAAAUCUCCGGGCUUAACUCGGAGCGGUCAAGUGAUACUGUCGUGCUAGAGUGCGGAAGGGGCUACUGGAAUUCUCGGUGUAGCGGUGAAAUGCGUAGAUAUCGAGAGGAACACCGGCGGCGAAGGCGGGUAGCUGGGCCGACACUGACGCUGAUGCGCGAAAGCCAGGGGAGCGAACGGG
rnacentral:rRNA from 1 species